rnacentral:misc_RNA from 1 species
AAAAAUAUUUGGUCUCGUGCCAAAUUUACACCUGUGUGCACCAUUGUCUGUAUUUGGUAGCUCGAGCGCGCUCCGGAAGCUCAACACUUCCAUUAGGGGCGCCUACCCUUGCGGGUCACAUCUCGCUUGGGUUGGGCUACCGCCUUUUUUUUUUGAAAAAACCUUUUUUGUUUUGCCUUUUUGUCUGAACGAAGAGUUGAUCUUAAUUGAUUAAUGAUUUGAAAA